rnacentral:rRNA from 1 species
AUUGAACGCUGGCGGCAGGCCUAACACAUGCAAGUCGAACGAGUGGCGGACGGGUGAGUAAUGUCUGGGAAACUGCCCGAUGGAGGGGGAUAACUACUGGAAACGGUAGCUAAUACCGCAUACCAUCGGAUGUGCCCAGAUGGGAUUGGAUAGUAGGUGGGGUAACGGCUCACCAAGGAGACGAUCCCUACCUGGUCUGAGAGGAUGACCAGCCACACUGGAACUGAGACACGGUCCAGACUCCUACGGGAGGCAGCAGGGGGGAAUAUUGGACAAUGGGCGAAAGCCUGAUGCAGCCAUGCCGGGUGUAUGAAGAAGGCCUUCGGGUUGUAAAGCACUUUCAGCGAGGAGGCGUUACUCGCAGAAGAAGCACCGGCUAACUCCGUGCCAGCAGCCGCGGUAAUUC